rnacentral:rRNA from 1 species
UACGUAGGGCGCAAGCGUUGUCCGGAAUUAUUGGGCGUAAAGAGCUUGUAGGCGGUUUGUCGCGUCUGCUGUGAAAUUUCGGGGCUCAACCCCGAACUUGCAGUGGGUACGGGCAGACUAGAGUGUGGUAGGGGAGACUGGAAUUCCUGGUGUAGCGGUGAAAUGCGCAGAUAUCAGGAGGAACACCGAUGGCGAAGGCAGGUCUCUGGGCCGAAAUUGACGCUGAGGAGCGAAAGCGUGGGGAGCAAACAGG